GACGAACGCUGGCGGCGUGCCUAAUACAUGCAAGUAGAACGCACAGUUUAUACCGUAGCUUGCUACACCAUAAACUGUGAGUUGCGAACGGGUGAGUAACGCGUAGGUAACCUGCCUGGUAGCGGGGGAUAACUAUUGGAAACGAUAGCUAAUACCGCAUAAUAUUGAUUAUUGCAUGAUAAUUGAUUGAAGGAUGCUAUUGCAUCACUACCAGAUGGACCUGCGUUGUAUUAGCUAGUAGGUGAGGUAACGGCUCACCUAGGCGACGAUACAUAGCCGACCUGCGAGGGUGAUCGGCCACACUGGGACUGAGACACGGCCCAGACUCCUACGGGAGGCAGCAGUAGGGAAUCUUCGGCAAUGGACGAAAGUCUGACCGAGCAACGCCGCGUGAGUGAAGAAGGUUUUCGGAUCGUAAAGCUCUGUUGUAAGAGAAGAACGGGUGUGAGAGUGGAAAGUUCACACUGUGACGGUAUCUUACCAGAAAGGGACGGCUAACUACGUG
rnacentral:rRNA from 1 species